rnacentral:rRNA from 1 species
ACAGGGUGACAGCCCCGUACACAAAAAUGCACAUACUGUGAGCUCGAUGAGUAGGGCGGGACACGUGGUAUCCUGUCUGAAUAUGGGGGGACCAUCCUCCAAGGCUAAAUACUCCUGACUGACCGAUAGUGAACCAGUACCGUGAGGGAAAGGCGAAAAGAACCCCGGCGAGGGGAGUGAAAAAGAACCUGAAACCGUGUACGUACAAGCAGUGGGAGCACGCUUAGGCGUGUGACUGCGUACCUUUUGUAUAAUGGGUCAGCGACUUAUAUUCUGUAGCAAGGUUAACCGAAUAGGGGAGCCGAAGGGAAACCGAGUCUUAACUGGGCGUUAAGUUGCAGGGUAUAGACCCGAAACCCGGUGAUCUAGCCAUGGGCAGGUUGAAGGUUGGGUAACACUAACUGGAGGACCGAACCGACUAAUGUUGAAAAAUUAGCGGAUGACUUGUGGCUGGGGGUGAAAGGCCAAUCAAACCGGGAGAUAGCUGGUUCUCCCCGAAAGCU